rnacentral:rRNA from 1 species
GAUGAACGCUGGCGGCGUGCCUAAUACAUGCAAGUCGAGCGAAUGGAUUAAGAGCUUGCUCUUAUGAAGUUAGCGGCGGACGGGUGAGUAACACGUGGGUAACCUGCCCAUAAGACUGGAUAACUCCGGGAAACCGGGGCUAAUACCGGAUAACAUUUUGAACCGCAUGGUUCGAAACUGAAAGGCGGCUUCGGCUGUCACUUAUGGAUCGACCCGCGUCGCAUUAGCUCGUUGGUGAGGUAACGGCUCACCAAGGCAACGAUGCGUAGCCGCCCUGAGAGGGUGAUCGGCCACACUGGGACUGAGACACGGCCCAGACUCCUACGGGAGGCAGCAGUAGGGAAUCUUCCGCAAUGGACGAAAGUCUGACGGAGCAACGCCGCGUGAGUGAUGAAGGCUUUCGGGUCGUAAAACUCUGUUGUUAGGGAAGAACAAGUGCUAGUUGAAUAAGCUGGCACCUUGACGGUACCUAACCAGAAAGCCACGGCUAACUACGUGCCAGCAGCCGCGGUAA